GGCUUAGAGUUUGAUCCUGGCUCAGAACGAACGCUGGCGGCGCGCCUAAUACAUGCAAGUCGAGCGAGAAGACGUAGCAAUACGUUUGUAAAGCGGCGAACGGGUGAGGAAUACAUGGGUAACCUACCCUAGAGUGGGGAAUAACUAGCCGAAAGGUUAGCUAAUACCGCGUACGCUUCUUGGACUUCGGUUCAGGGAGGAAAGCGCUACCGAGGGUAGCGCGCUCUUGGAUGGGCUCAUGUCCUAUCAGCUUGUUGGUGAGGUAACGGCUCACCAAGGCUUCGACGGGUAGCUGGUCUGAGAGGACGAUCAGCCACACUGGCACUGCGACACGGGCCAGACUCCUACGGGAGGCAGCAGUAAGGAAUAUUGCGCAAUGGGCGAAAGCCUGACGCAGCGACGCCGCGUGGGGGAUGAAGGUCUUCGGAUUGUAAACCCCUUUCGGGAGGGAAGAUGGAAUGGGGUAACCCAUU
rnacentral:rRNA from 1 species